rnacentral:rRNA from 1 species
GACGAACCGUGCGAACGUUGUUCGGAAUCACUGGGCUUAAAGGGCGCGUAGGCGGGCCUUCAAGUCCGGGGUGAAAUCCUCCCGCCCAACGGGAGAAGAGCCUCGGAGACUGAGGGCCUCGAGGGAGGUAGGGGCAAGCGGAACUAUGGGUGGAGCGGUGAAAUGCAUUGAUAUCCAUAGGAACUCCGGUGGCGAAGGCGGCUUGCUGGACCUUUUCUGACGCUGAGGCGCGAAAGCCAGGGGAGCAAACGGG